UGGGGAAUAUUGCGCAAUGGGCGGAAGCCUGACGCAGCGACGCCGCGUGGGGGAUGAAGGCCUUCGGGUUGUAAACCUCUUUCAGCACCGGCGAAUUCAGACGGUAGGUGCAGAAGAAGCGCCGGCUAACUACGUGCCAGCAGCCGCGGUAAUACGUAGGGUGCAAGCGUUGUCCGGAAUUAUUGGGCGUAAAGAGCUCGUAGGCGGUUUGUCGCGUCGGCAGUGAAAGCCCGGAGCUCAACUCCGGGUCUGCAGUCGAUACGGGCAGACUUGAGUGUUGCAGGGGAGACUGGAAUUCCUGGUGUAGCGGUGAAAUGCGCAGAUAUCAGGAGGAACACCGGUGGCGAAGGCGGGUCUCUGGGCAACAACUGACGCUGAGGAGCGAAAGCGUGGGGAGCGAA
rnacentral:rRNA from 1 species